ensembl:lncRNA
AUAAUACUACAGAGGGAUUAGGAAGCAAGGAGAGGCGCCUGGCACUAUGUUCAAUGCUCUUCCUUAUGCUUUUGGCAUUUGUGUCUUUCUCUUUUCUCCCGUAGUUAAUCCAGAGUUACACUAGUGUAAAUAACAUCAGGGGGAUGGGUCUGAAAAACCUACAGUAGGUACAAGACAAAAGUAGAUCUUAUUCUCAAACGUAUUUAAAUAUAAAAUAAUUAUUACUCAUACAUUACAGAUUUGGAUCCAUGCAACAGUAAAAGCUCUAUCCAAAACUGAAACUGGAGAAGCAAUGGCACUCGUGUUCUACAUUAACUGGGCACAGUAUGAAAAAGUGCAAACUAUCAGACUGGAUGAAAACCCAAAUGAAUAGUUCAGUUUCAGAUGAAUUAGGCUGUAUCACAGAUGCAACUGACAAGGAACAAGAUGACUUACCUUAUGACGGAGAGGUAGGCAUAACCUGUAAAUACAGUAAUUCGGAUAAUUUGAAUGACUGUCCUUGUACAAAAGUUAUUUCUGGUAUUUUAAACGUAGCCUGUUCUGAAGAUAACAAAAACAUAAAAGCAACAGCUAAUUAUGAAACACAUCCACAACCUGAGAAAUUCUCCAGUUACCACAGAACUGCCACAGGAACAACAGGAAUUUCAGUUGAAAUGCCUGAAAGUGAAGCUUCCUUUAGAAAGGAAUUACCUGUUGGUGGUUUUAGUAAACCAGACAGCAAAGAACAUCUAACUAACUCAAAAAUGUCCGAUAUCCUUUUGCGUCAUUUUUCUAACGGAGAGUUAAUAAAUACAUGCCAGCUAAUUGAAUGUGAGACAAUACCAGAGAUAUCCUUUACUGAAAGUAUCAGUGACACUGUGAACAAACCUGAGCCUUCAGAACAUCUCAAAGGCCCUUUAGUGCACAAACAAUGGGCAACUAACUUUGAAGAAUAUAAUUUAGAAAACCACAAGGAAGUAAACACUGGUGAUAAAAAUCAAAAUUCACUAAAUGAAAAUAGAUGUGUUUCAAAGAAACCUAUUUCUUCUACUGGAAAGUGUGGGUACAGACAAGAGAAUUCACAACUGAUUAAUGAGAAUGAAGAUACACACCUCUUUCAAAACAUGAGAGAAGACAGAGACCUGUUUAAGAAAACAGUUUCACGUCACGAUCCCAAAUACAGCAAAGGUCAAGCUCACUGUUGCCUUCCUGACUUCUCCAAAGUUGCUUCAGAAGUUAAAGUACCAGAAAGAAGUGACAACAUAAAAUCAGUUCCUACAACUGAAAGAACAAAAUCCUUCCCUAUUUUAAGUAAAUCAGUAAUUGGGAACAACAUUGAAGAAAAUAAGAAUUAUUUCAAUUCUGCUGAAGUAAAGAAUCAAGAAGAAAUGAGCAUUCCAGAACUAUUGCAACAGCUAGAGAUGCAGACACAGCAUGCUGACACCCAGAAUCAUAUUGACCAGCUGAGACUGAAUCCUAAGAUACUUCCUCAGUCAGAUUUUCCAAAUGCCACCAUUGACAUUUACUCUGGAGACACUGGGAUAUCUUCUGAAGUCUUUACAUUACAGGCUCCUAUCCCUAUACAAUCUACAUGUGGUUUGUCUAAAGCAAGUAAAUAAGAUUACAGUAACUAUGUAACUUACUUAUGUAAUUUGAUAGCACUUCUGAGCAGAAAUUCCAAUUGAUUGAUCUUAUUUUGUAUUAUGUAGGAUUACAGUAUGGAACAACAGAAUCAGCAUUACCAGCAGCCAGUACAGUAGAAGCACAUUGUCUAAAUCCUUCUAAUUUACUGCCAGAACUAACACUAGGAGAAAAGAUGUCUCAAAUACUAAAGGAUCAGACAGAUCAACUGAUAAAGAAAGUAAAGAGUUCUGUUUCAAUAUAUACUUUGCACUGAUGCUCAAGUUCUAUAUUCAUAUAGUAUAUUCAUUUUUAAAUACCAAAUAAAAAAUCUAUUAUUUUGUCUUGAAGGUAGAAG